rnacentral:lncRNA from 1 species
UCUUCUCAGGCUUUUGCGAGGCAUUGCCGCUACUGUCACAUCGACAGGGUUCCUCUGACCGACACUCGGAAGCUUCCACAGACUCCGACUUUCUCACCGUUCUAGCAGGAGCACCUUGACUAGAGAAACAGUCCGAUCUUUCCGGUCUCGUGACUUCCAGAGGAAUCUUGGAUUCACUCGCGGGUUCGUCACCAGCUGUUUUCUAAUCGAUGCAUGCAGGACAACGCAAACACAGUUGUCUGCAUCUCUCGGAGAUGGGGACCUGUUACGAAUCGGGGGGGUAAGUAUCUCCUCAAGAACUGGGAGCGAGAGCCUCUGGUUCAUUUUCAUACCUUCUACGGGAGUUUCAGCAGCAGACUGCCCGGCAGCGUGAAAAGGAUUCUUAUAUGACGACAGUGAUUCGGUGAUGGUUUACACUCGUUGAUAAACAUUUCAGUAGCGUAAUUGUUGGUGCUACCUCGAGAGAGUUUCCCGUCUGCCGUCGAUUUCAAAGAACAAAACCGCUGUCCCCAGCAAGGAUACCUGCUUCUGUUUUUCCUCUAGGCGACGCUGCUUGUUAAUUAGACGCGCGUCCUGCAGCGGUUCGUGAUAUUCGCGAAGAAAGAGAGUCUCCCUUUUCGACUUUUCUGAAACUUCAAGUCGAGGCAACUUCGGAUUCGCCACAGAACACCCAGGCUCAGGUUCCAAGCUCUUUUCCAAUUCUGCCUGUGCAAUUCGCAGUUGAUCCUCGUGUUCCUUCCGAAGGCUUUCUUCUCGCAGCUCUAAAACACGCAUGAUAUUUUUUCCCUUCACACGUGCCUCUUCCAGGUAGCGGCGGUGAAGCUUGCGACGGUCUUUUGUCGAGGUCUUGUCUUCGAACCUAUCACGCACGGACAGACGCUUACUUCUCAGAGACGGCGUCGCAGUGGAAAAAUAUCGAGAAACCUUAUGUUUCCUGUUCGCCGGCAGAGGAAGAAGCGAAUUCACGUUCAAUCGUGUUGCCUGAGUAGAUGCAGCCGUGUUCUAGAAAAUUUGUUGGCGAAUGGAAGCUCCACGGCAAAGCAGGUCUGGAAUCACCUAGACAUACCGCCCAAGUCCAGACAUUUACACAGCCCAGCUCGACUUGGUAGCUUCAGCAGCUGGCACGUGGAGAGCCGACCCCGUUCUGGUUCCGGAGUUCCUUUUUCGAACACAGUCGUGAUUCUAAAAGAUGUGAGACAUCUUGUCGAAAAGACGAUGCCUGUUUACUCGGGUGAUGUGGUACACAAAAGUGCCACAGAUCUUCGUUAGAUCGAAG